rnacentral:rRNA from 2 species
GGUUAAGCGACUAAGCGUACACGGUGGAUGCCCUGGCAGUCAGAGGCGAUGAAGGACGUGCUAAUCUGCGAUAAGCGCCGGUAAGGUGAUAUGAACCGUUAUAACCGGCGAUUUCCGAAUGGGGAAACCCAGUGUGAUUCGUCACACUAUCAUUAACUGAAUCCAUAGGUUAAUGAGGCGAACCGGGGGAACUGAAACAUCUAAGUACCCCGAGGAAAAGAAAUCAACCGAGAUUCCCCCAGUAGCGGCGAGCGAACGGGGAGGAGCCCAGAGCCUGAAUCAGCAUGUGUGUUAGUGGAAGCGUCUGGAAAGGCGCGCGAUACAGGGUGACAGCCCCGUACACAAAAGCGCAUGUGCUGUGAGCUCGAUGAGUAGGGCGGGACACGUGGUAUCCUGUCUGAAUAUGGGGGGACCAUCCUCCAAGGCUAAAUACUCCUGACUGACCGAUAGUGAACCAGUACCGUGAGGGAAAGGCGAAAAGAACCCCGGCGAGGGGAGUGAAAAAGAACCUGAAACCGUGUACGUACAAGCAGUGGGAGCACAGGUUUACCUGUGUGACUGCGUACCUUUUGUAUAAUGGGUCAGCGACUUAUAUUCUGUAGCAAGGUUAACCGUAUAGGGGAGCCGGAGGGAAACCGAGUCUUAAUUGGGCGUUAAGUUGCAGGGUAUAGACCCGAAACCCGGUGAUCUAGCCAUGGGCAGGUUGAAGGUUGGGUAACACUAACUGGAGGACCGAACCGACUAAUGUUGAAAAAUUAGCGGAUGACCUGUGGCUGGGGGUGAAAGGCCAAUCAAACCGGGAGAUAGCUGGUUCUCCCCGAAAGCUAUUUAGGUAGCGCCUCGUGAAUUCAUCUCCGGGGGUAGAGCACUGUUUCGGCUAGGGGGCCAUCCCGGCUUACCAACCCGAUGCAAACUGCGAAUACCGGAGAAUGUUAUCACGGGAGACACACGGCGGGUGCUAACGUCCGUCGUGAAGAGGGAAACAACCCAGACCGCCAGCUAAGGUCCCAAAGUCAUGGUUAAGUGGGAAACGAUGUGGGAAGGCCCAGACAGCCAGGAUGUUGGCUUAGAAGCAGCCAUCAUUUAAAGAAAGCGUAAUAGCUCACUGGUCGAGUCGGCCUGCGCGGAAGAUGUAACGGGGCUAAACCAUGCACCGAAGCUGCGGCAGCGAACGUAUCACCCAAGACAACUUUACGGAGUUGACGAUUGACGGAGCGAAGCGACGUCAAAGCGUUCAUUAAAGUCGAGUUGGCUUAGGGAUACGUUCGUUGGGUAGGGGAGCGUUCUGUAAGCCUGUGAAGGUGUGUCGUGAGGCAUGCUGGAGGUAUCAGAAGUGCGAAUGCUGACAUAAGUAACGAUAAAGCGGGUGAAAAGCCCGCUCGCCGGAAGACCAAGGGUUCCUGUCCAACGUUAAUCGGGGCAGGGUGAGUCGACCCCUAAGGCGAGGCCGAAAGGCGUAGUCGAUGGGAAACGGGUUAAUAUUCCCGUACUUGGUGUUACUGCGAAGGGGGGACGGAGAAGGCUAUGUUGGCCGGGCGACGGUUGUCCCGGUUUAAGCGUGUAGGUGUGUGUUCCAGGUAAAUCCGGUUCACUUUAACACUGAGGCGUGACGACGAGGCACUACGGUGCUGAAGCAACAAAUGCCCUGCUUCCAGGAAAAGCCUCUAAGCAUCAGGUAACACGAAAUCGUACCCCAAACCGACACAGGUGGUCAGGUAGAGAAUACCAAGGCGCUUGAGAGAACUCGGGUGAAGGAACUAGGCAAAAUGGUGCCGUAACUUCGGGAGAAGGCACGCUGACACGUAGGUGAAGUGAUUUACUCAUGGAGCUGAAGUCAGUCGAAGAUACCAGCUGGCUGCAACUGUUUAUUAAAAACACAGCACUGUGCAAACACGAAAGUGGACGUAUACGGUGUGACGCCUGCCCGGUGCCGGAAGGUUAAUUGAUGGGGUCAGCGCAAGCGAAGCUCCUGAUCGAAGCCCCGGUAAACGGCGGCCGUAACUAUAACGGUCCUAAGGUAGCGAAAUUCCUUGUCGGGUAAGUUCCGACCUGCACGAAUGGCGUAAUGAUGGCCAGGCUGUCUCCACCCGAGACUCAGUGAAAUUGAACUCGCUGUGAAGAUGCAGUGUACCCGCGGCAAGACGGAAAGACCCCGUGAACCUUUACUAUAGCUUGACACUGAACAUUGAGCCUUGAUGUGUAGGAUAGGUGGGAGGCUUUGAAGUGUGGACGCCAGUCUGCAUGGAGCCGACCUUGAAAUACCACCCUUUAAUGUUUGAUGUUCUAACGUGGACCCGUAAUCCGGGUUGCGGACAGUGUCUGGUGGGUAGUUUGACUGGGGCGGUCUCCUCCUAAAGAGUAACGGAGGAGCACGAAGGUUGGCUAAUCCUGGUCGGACAUCAGGAGGUUAGUGCAAUGGCAUAAGCCAGCUUGACUGCGAGCGUGACGGCGCGAGCAGGUGCGAAAGCAGGUCAUAGUGAUCCGGUGGUUCUGAAUGGAAGGGCCAUCGCUCAACGGAUAAAAGGUACUCCGGGGAUAACAGGCUGAUACCGCCCAAGAGUUCAUAUCGACGGCGGUGUUUGGCACCUCGAUGUCGGCUCAUCACAUCCUGGGGCUGAAGUAGGUCCCAAGGGUAUGGCUGUUCGCCAUUUAAAGUGGUACGCGAGCUGGGUUUAGAACGUCGUGAGACAGUUCGGUCCCUAUCUGCCGUGGGCGCUGGAGAACUGAGGGGGGCUGCUCCUAGUACGAGAGGACCGGAGUGGACGCAUCACUGGUGUUCGGGUUGUCAUGCCAAUGGCACUGCCCGGUAGCUAAAUGCGGAAGAGAUAAGUGCUGAAAGCAUCUAAGCACGAAACUUGCCCCGAGAUGAGUUCUCCCUGAGACUUAGAGUCUCCUGAAGGAACGUUGAAGACGACGACGUUGAUAGGCCGGGUGUGUAAGCGCAGCGAUGCGUUGAGCUAACCGGUACUAAUGAACCGUGAGGCUUAACCUU